rnacentral:rRNA from 1 species
UACGAAGGGGGCUAGCGUUGCUCGGAUUUACUGGGCGUAAAGGGCGCGUAGGCGGAUGUUUAAGUCGGGGGUGAAAGCCCGGGGCUCAACCUCGGAAUUGCCUUCGAUACUGGACAUCUUGAGUGCAGGAGAGGGAAGUGGAACUCCGGGAGUAGCGGUGAAAUGCGUAGAGACCCGGAGGAACACCAGUGGCGAAGGCGGCUUCCUGGUCUGCAACUGACGCUGUGGCGCGAAAGCUAGGGGAGCAAACGGG